rnacentral:misc_RNA from 1 species
ACUACAAAGCGGCCAAACCUAGCGAAAACGGGUUCUUUCGACUUCGCAUGGGACGCAAGAACGACCUGAAAUGUGGCAACUCUCAAUCACUUGCCGUUGGAUUGACAACCGGAUAUAGUUUAUAUAGCUUAGGAAAUAUUGAUACUAGUCUCGAAAGGAUUUACACAAAUGAUGGCGAACCAAUUAAAUUGAUAGAAAGAUUAUUUGAAAGCUCAUUAGUAGCAGUUGUUACGGCGACAUCUCCGCGAAAACUGAAGGUGUGCCAUUUCAAACGACAAAGUGAGAUAUGCAAUUACUCGUACUCAAAUACAAUAUUAGCGAUCAAAUUGAAUCGUGAUCGCCUAGUAGUAUGUUUAGAAGAGAGCCUUUACAUUCAUAAUAUUCAAGAUAUGAAAGUUGUACACACAAUUCGUGAUACCCCAACAAACCCCUCUGGUCUUUGCGCUCUGUCUUCUUCAUCCGAUCAUUGUUAUUUAGCGUAUCCUGGAAGUGUGGCAUCUGGAGAAGUACAAAUUUUUGAUGCAAUCAACUUGCAAGCGAAAACGAUGAUUGAAGCACACAAUUCAUCACUAUAUGCGAUUGCAUUCAAUUCGUCUGGAACACAAAUAGCUACGGCUAGUGAGAAGGGAACAGUGAUUCGUGUAUUUUCAACGAUAGACGGAAAGAAAUUAUAUGAAUUUAGGCGAGGCAUGAAGCGUUGCGUUAAGAUCGCAUCACUGUCAUUUAGUACAUGCUCAGAUUAUUUAGUUUGCAGUUCAAAUACUGAAACGGUUCACAUAUUUAAGCUAGAUAAAGCCAGUAUGGAACCAGAGACUAGCAAAUCUCCGGACGAUUGGAGUGGGUACUUUAGUUUAAUUUCGCAAACUGCCAGAAGCUAUUUGCCAACACAAGUAACAGACGUUUUCACUCAAGGGCGUGCUUUUGCUUCGGUGGUUCUUCCCGAGGCAAAUGUUAAGCGAAUUUGUGCAAUAACAACCAUUCAAAAAUCAUUAAGACUUUUAAUUGCAUCAAUGGAUGGACACCUAUAUGUUUACUCAAUAGCACCAGUCGAAGGUGGUGAAUGCCAACUAGUAAAGAAGCAUAAUCUGCGAACUGCCGAAUCAUUACCAAUUUCAGUUCGCGCUGGAAUAUACACAGAAGAAGUAAUUUUUGAAGGAACUUCUUUAACAGAUUCGUGGAUAGUAAUCUAGUGAUUGCAUCAGUUUGCUAAAGUAAACACCAUCAUAUAAAUAUCUAAACAUAUUAGCUUUUGUCAUGUUUGUAAGAGAAGUACACUGAAACAGCUCCGUCAAAAUCGACAGAACUAAAAAAUCUGUUGAAGACGCCGAAAUUGGCGUAGCGAAGAGCUUCAACGAUCAUUUUCCGAGUCAAAUACAUUGGUAACAUAAAUCUGCAAUGGGAUCAUUGCGGUUUGUUACAAUCAUGCCACGAUACCAUAAGCUAUGUAGAAGGAGUUUUCAUCGAUUCUGACGAGUUUCUGUAUUCACCUGUCACCGCCAUCACAAUCUCUUUGACCUUUUCCUUUUGCAGCAAAACAGACUGAAACCUAAAUGUGUAUUAAUUAGCUUUUUAUGUUUAAGUUCGCUUGAAUGACAUUUUUUUUAUUCUCGAUUGUGCAUUAUAUUUUUAAGAUACUGUUGUAUGACUUGUGGGGGUUUAGGUGAGGUAUUUCAUCUGAAUCUCGAGGCUCUGAUACAAGAAAACAAAUUGUUUGCCAUAAGAGAAACCUGAAAAACAAGUUUAGAUGUAAUUAUAUGAUAAGUUUUUUAUACGCUUUUGAACAUAUUUCGCUUUUGAGACUGAUGUUUUCUUGAUUGAGACGUUGUUAAAAUUGAUGAUAAUUGGCUCAAUCUAAUUUAUAGUACAAAAUUUCGAUCGUCCAAUAAAGUUAUUAAAACGGAA